rnacentral:rRNA from 1 species
UACGGGGGGAGCAAGCGUUGUUCGGAUUUACUGGGCGUAAAGGGCGCGUAGGCGGUCAGCACAAGUCAGUUGUGAAAUCUCCGGGCUUAACUCGGAAAGGUCAACUGAUACUGUGCGACUAGAGUGCAGAAGGGGCAACUGGAAUUCUUGGUGUAGCGGUGAAAUGCGUAGAUAUCAAGAGGAACACCUGCGGCGAAGGCGGGUUGCUGGGCUGACACUGACGCUGAAGCGCGAAAGCCAGGGGAGCGAACGGG